rnacentral:tRNA from 1 species
GCGGGUGUAGCUCAGUUUGGUAGAGCGACUGCCUUCCAAGCAGACGGUUGCGGGUUCGAGUCCCGCCUCCCGCU